AUGCAAGUCGAGCGUCUCAACUUCGGUUGGGAAGCGGCAGACGGGUGAGUAACACGUUGGAAUCUGCCCCAAAGUGAGGGAUAAGCCUGGGAAACUGGGUCUAAUACCGCAUGUGCCCCGACCUAGUCGGGGUAAAGCUUUUGCGCUUUGGGAGGAGCCUGCGUAAUAUCAGCUUGUUGGUGAGGUAAUAGCUCACCAAGGCUAUGACGUUUAGCUGGUCUGAGAGGAUGAUCAGUCACAAGGGAACUGAGACACGGUCCCUACUCC
rnacentral:rRNA from 1 species